UACGUAGGGGGCAAGGCGUUGUCCGGAUUUAUUGGGCGUAAAGAGCGUGUAGGCGGCUAGAUAGGUCCGUUGUGAAAACUCGAGGCUCAACCUCGAGACGUCGAUGGAAACCAUCUGGCUAGAGUCCGGAAGAGGAGAGUGGAAUUCCUGGUGUAGCGGUGAAAUGCGCAGAUAUCAGGAAGAACACCCGUGGCGAAGGCGGCUCUCUGGUACGUGACUGACGCUGAGACGCGAAAGCGUGGGGAGCAAACAGG
rnacentral:rRNA from 1 species